UUAAGAAUUUUGCGCAAUGGGCGAAAGCCUGACGCAGCGACGCCGCGUGGACGAUGAAGGUCUUCGGAUUGUAAAGUCCAGUAAGCAGGGAAGAAUAAGCAACGGGUAAUAUUCGUUGUGAUGACGGUACCUGCCUAAAGCCUCGGCUAACUACGUGCCAGCAGCCGCGGUAAUACGUAUGAGGCACGCGUUGUUCGGACUUAUUUGGCAUAAAGGGCGUGUAGGCGGGGGAUUAAGUUAGGUGUGAAAGCCACGGGCUUAACUCGUGAAUGGAAGCGAAGACUGGUGCUCGUGAGUUCGGGAGAGGAGAGCGGAAUUCACGGUGUAGCGGUGAAAUGCGUAGAUAGAGGGAAGAACACCAGUGGCGAAGGCGGCUCUCUGGCCUAGAACUGACGCUAAGGCGCGAAAGCGUGGGGAGCGAACGG
rnacentral:rRNA from 1 species